rnacentral:rRNA from 1 species
UUCUGGCUCAGGAUGAACGCUGGCGGCGUGCCUAAUACAUGCAAGUCGAACGAGAGUGCUUGCACUCUAGUGGCGAACGGGUGAGUAACACGUAGGUAACCUGCCUUACAGUUUGGGAUACCCUGGCGAAAGCUAGGCUAAUACCGAAUAAUUGGAUUGGAGGCAUCUCCGAUCUCUAAAAAGGGGCCUUUAAAGCCUCGCUGAAUGAUGGACCUGCGGCGCAUUAGCUAGUUGGUGAGAUAACAGCCCACCAAGGCGAGGAUGCGUAGCCGACCUGAGAGGGUGAACGGCCACACUGGAACUGAGACACGGUCCAGACUCCUACGGGAGGCAGCAGUAGGGAGUUUUCGGCAAUGGGGGCAACCCUGACCGAGCAACGCCGCGUGAAUGAAUGAAGGUCUUCGGAUUGUAAAGUUCUGUUAUAAGGGAAAAAUGAUAUGGUGAGGAAAUGCUCCAUAUUUGAUGGUACCUUAUUAGAAAGCCACGGCUAACUACGUGCCAGCCGCGGC